GACGAACGCUGGCGGCGUGCUUAACACAUGCAAGUCGAACGGAAAGGCCCUGCUUUUGCGGGGUGCUCGAGUGGCGAACGGGUGAGUAACACGUGAGUAACCUGCCCUUGACUUUGGGAUAACUUCAGGAAACUGGGGCUAAUACCGGAUAGGAGCUCCUGCUGCAUGGUGGGGGUUGGAAAGUUUCGGCGGUUGGGGAUGGUCUCGCGGCUUAUCGGCUUGUUGGUGGGGUAGUGGCUUACCAAGGCUUUGACGGGUAGCCGGCCUGAGAGGGUGACCGGCCCCAUUGGGACUGUGAUACGGCGCAGACUCCAACGGGAGGCAGCAGUGGAGAAUAUUGCCCAAUGGGCGGGAGCCUGUUGCGGCAACGCCGCGUGCGGGAUGACGUCCUUCGGGUUGUAAACCGCUUUCGCCUGUGACGAAGCGUGAGUGACGGUAAUGGGUAAAGAAGCACCGGCUGACUACGUG
rnacentral:rRNA from 1 species